rnacentral:rRNA from 1 species
AUUGAACGCUGGCGGCAGGCCUAACACAUGCAAGUCGAGCGGAUGAAGGGAACUUGCUUCUUGAUACAGCGGCGGACGGGCGAGUAAUGCCUAGGAAUCUGCCUGGUAGUGGGGUAUAACGUCCGGAAACGGGCGCUAUUACCGCAUACGUCCUGAGGGAGAAAGUGGGGGAUCUUCGGACCUCACGCUAUCAGAUGAGCCUAGGUCGGAUUAGCUAGUUGGUGGGGUAAAGGCCUACCAAGGCGACGAUCCGUAACUGGUCUGAGAGGAUGAUCAGUCACACUGGAACUGAGACACGGUCCAGACUCCUACGGGAGGCAGCAGUGGGGAAUAUUGGACAAUGGGCGAAAGCCUGAUCCAGCCAUGCCGCGUGUGUGAAGAAGGUCUUCGGAUUGUAAAGCACUUUAAGUUGGGAGGAAGAGCAGUAAGUUAAUACCUUGCUGUUUUGACGUUACCAACAGAAUAAGCACCGGCUAACUUCGUG